GUGGCCCAGGUGACACGCCUGUUUUGUCUGGAACACGCUCUGAAGCAUACGUUUUCUGCUGGAAGAAAAACAUGUUUUAAGAGGUUUUGUUUCAUUUCGCCGGCUGCUGAUUCAAACACUUGUCCUGCUUUCAUAGUCCGUGAUUAAUUGCAGGUUCCUACUCCUGUGGGAAUUACUCAAGGCUCCUCUCAAAGCCGCGCUGCACUCGUCAGCGUGACUCACCUUUUCACGAUUCCAGAGCUAAUAACAGGGAUUAUCCAGUCGGCACUUCGGGAAAUGAGUGAGAGUGAAAAGGGGACUGUUACAUUUGCUUUUCUUGGGGAAACAAAAACUUUUUAAUGAAGUCUAGCCUAUAGAAGAAAGCACAGAUUGUAAUAAGUGUGCAGCCCGAUAGAUGUUGGCGGUAUAAACCCACCGACAUUUCUGGCACCCCAGAACAAGAAUCAAAACAUGGCCAGCUGUUUGAGGUUUCAAUAUGUUACCUUCCACGUGUGGACAUGCGAUCUUGCUUGGAUGGAGUUUGUUUCUGGAGCUGUGGUGAACUGUAAGGAGAAGAAACAGAACUUGAGAAUGAAAUGGGGGCACUACUGAUUACACAGGGCCAGCAGGCAUAAACCAGAACUGUCUUGGGGAAACUGGGACAAAGCCCACCGGGACCCUGAGACCCACUGAUGAUCGCACUUCGGCGCAUCAGGCAGGUGGCGACCAUCACGAUGGCUGACACAGUUAUGACGGCAAGGUUCACAGCGACAACCAUAGCAAUAACGUGGCCACGCGGAGCACAACGCGGUCUCCAACACCGACAACAUCUGGAGCCUAGGAGGCCCACGAUAAGUAUUUGCUGGAUCCAUGAAUAAAUUAGCACCCGUUGUCACAAUCCUCAUUUUUCCUGGUUUUACUGAGUGACCCAAGUGAAUCGCUGACUUACACCGAUGACCAUUGUUUUAGAGUAACUAUCCUUAACCUGUGAGGCAAGAACCCUUUCUGUUCUAGUUUUCAAAGAGUUAUGGCUGAAAAGGGGGCUGAAAGGUAUCAGAUGUAUUUGCCACACCUUUGAGACGCUUCUGUAACUUUUUAUUCAAACACAUCAAUAUAACGGAUCGCUUAAAUGUUACAACACCUUUCCACCCCUGGGUAUAAAAUUCUGUAUUUGUGUGUUUGUGUACGUGCAUGUUCAGGUUUAGUCCAGAGGGGCGUGGUAGGGUUUUGAUUAGGAUUUUUACAUUCUAACAUUUUUGAAAAAGGUUUAUUUUUGAGAAAGACAGAGAGAGAGAGAGAGAGAGAGAGAGAGAGAGAGAGAGAGAGAGAGAGAGAGAGAGAGAGAGAGAGAGAGAGAGAGAGAGAGAGAGAGAGAGAGAGAGAGAGAGAGAGAGAGAGAGAGAGAG
rnacentral:lncRNA from 1 species